AGCCUGAAGCACUGUACCAGGAACAUUCUACUUGGUUCAAAAAUAUUCCACUAAUCGAGAUGAACGGAGCCUCGUUUACAGUUCCAGAUAUAUAUACAAAUUUGGAGGCAUGAAAAUGAUAACUGGAAACUGGUCUGUGCCCACAGCCAUCAUCCUGUGGAGUAUACAGCGAAGAAGAAGGUGGGUGUGGAUUUAGGAAAGUCUUCCUGCAUAAAGUGGCAUUUCAACUGGACAUUGGAGGAUGGUGUGAGGCAGCUUGGGGACCAAGGAGUAGGUCAAGGUUGGAAAAUGUACAAUGAUAAAUACACAAUGAAUAUGAAUUCAAUAACACUUCUAAAUUAGCUGGUAUAUUAUCAAUCACAGAAGUAUCUUGGUCUAUAGAGGAGGUGCUUUGGAGGAUCAUUUUCCAUAUGGAUGAGGGGAUGCUGCACAGAGAGGCACAGAGAAGUCAAGGCAUUUGCAGCUCUGAUGAUUUUAACCCAAACUGUCUGUCUUCAGUCUUGUGACCACUCCACAUCACUGUUCUGCACACCAGC